AACGAACGCUGGCAGAAUGCUUAACACAUGCAAGUCGAACGUGAAAGUACUUCGGUAUGAGUAAAGUGGCGCACGGGUGAGUAACACGUAGGCGACCUGCCGUUUAGAGGGGGAUAACCAGAAGAAAUUUUGGCUAAUACCGCAUACGAAGAACGAACUUAAAUAUAGUUCUUGAAAGGAUGCCUCUGUAUAUGCAUCUACUAAACGAUGGGCCUGCGGUACAUUAGCUAGUUGGUGGGGUAAUGGCCUACCAAGGCGACGAUGUAUAACGGAUCUGAGAGGAUGAUCCGUCACACUGGAACUGAGACACGGUCCAGACUCCUACGGGAGGCAGCAGUGGGGAAUAUUGGACAAUGGGCGAAAGCCUGAUCCAGCAAUUCUGCGUGAGUGAGGAAGGACUUCGGUCUGUAAAGCUCUGUUAAUGUGGAAAAAUGGUUAGUGGUCUAAUAGGCCGCUGAUUUGAUGGUACACAUAGAGGAAGCACCGGCUAACUUCGUGCCAGCCGCCGCCGUAAAAC
rnacentral:rRNA from 1 species